rnacentral:rRNA from 1 species
AAUAGCGGCCAUAGCAGAGGGGACACACCUGGACCCAUCUCGAACCCAGCAGUUAAGCCCUCCCACGUAUCCCGCGGUACUGAGGUACGCGAGUCCUCGGGAACCGGGAUUCGCUGCUAUUA